rnacentral:misc_RNA from 1 species
GUAGGUGAACCUGCGGAUGGAUCAUUAUCACGUAUCCACGUAUCAACCAUUGUGAACUGUUUUUACCUCUGAUAGGAUUUAGUGAAAGGUUUCGGCCUCUUCUUAUCAGUUGUAUUCACUUUUUUUAUUAACAAUUUAAACCUUAACUUUAAACUUUUGAACUGAUUUAUUUUAUACUCUUCGGAGAUAAAAUUCAUUACGAAACAAAGAACAACUCUUAGCAACGGAUAUCUUGGUUCUCGCAUCGAUG